rnacentral:rRNA from 1 species
UACGGGGGGUGCGAGCGUUGUCCGGAAUCACUGGGCGUAAAGGGCGCGUAGGUGGUCUGAUAAGGGUGUGGUGAAAGCCCGGGGCUCAACCCCGGGUCGGCCGUGCCGACUGUUAGACUAGAGUACUGUAGGGGCAGGCGGAAUUCCGGGUGUAGCGGUGAAAUGCGCAGAUAUCAGGAGGAACACCGGUGGCGAAAGCGCUCUACUGGACGGUGACUGACACUCAGGGACGAAAGCUAGGGGAGCGAAUGGG